GAACUGCAUACUGCUUUGAACAUCGACAUCUUGAACGCAUAUUGCGGCCACGGGUUAGCCCGUGGCCACGCCUGUCCGAGGGUCGGCU
rnacentral:rRNA from 1 species